CUCUUCAGUUACGGCAAACACGUGACUCGCCGUUCGUUCUAGAUCCACCAUUGAAGUGUGUCUCUUCAGAUUCGGGAAUCUUGGAAUGUGAAGAAAUCCGGUGAAUUUAUGUAUGCUUCUCCUUGAUGGAAAAUUAAUUCCGUUACUUUGUCGAAGACAAAAAGAAAGGAAGGGAGGGAGCACAAGGAGAGUGUUGUUAAUUGAAACAGAGAGGCUGUCAAGAAAUAUAGUUCUGAAUAUGCUUUCUCUUUUGAAAACAUGAGAAAUAUCAAAUUCAAGGAGUUCAGACAACAAUAUAGACACAAUGGAAGGUCGGUUUCUUUGUUGUUGAUUUUUUUAACUAUGAAUAAAUGGGUGUUGCUUGAAUGUAAUUGAGAUUAACAUAUGUACAUUAAGUCUUUGAUUUGUAGUUUGGUUCUUAUUGGUUCAGGCUCAAACAAAGUGAUGCAGGUUGUCUUGGUCAUCCUGCUUCUGAUGAAAUCCGUCAUGCCAUCUUUAGAGCCUCAAGGUUGUGUACUAUGUUUCUUAAAGUUGCAUUAUACUUGGUCUAAACUGUUGUCUGAUGUGUUUUUGCAUAUGUUUUGGAAUGUUUUUUAAGCUGCUUUAUGGUGAUGCUGGACUUCUUAUUGCAGAUAUGCCAAAUGAAGAGGUUGAAAAGGACUUAUGCUGUAUCCAUCUCUCUCUUGGCUUUCCCGUAUCUUCAAAAUUCUUCUUUUGGUUAUUAUCGCAGCUUAUUUAACGCGAUGACUUAUUUAACGCUGAAAGUUCAGAAUUUUCAAGGACUAGAAGCACUGCAGUAGAAACGGCUUGUUGGCUUUUCCCGAUACUACUUCUGGAACACACUUCUAUUUUGACAAUGAAUGUCUCACCGGCCAGAGUUUUCUAGCAGCGUAAGAGAUUCCAUACUAACUGUUGUUUAUGAAAUCUUAUACACGCUGGUCUCCAAAGACGGUUUAAUUUUUUUUAGUAGUUUAUCUGGAUCUGAUGAUGGUUACAGCUUCACAUCUUCCAAGAAUGGAGAUGUGCAAAAAAUUGAAACAGUUACUCUUGCUGAACUGAACAAUUACGUACUGAACUCUCCACCGCAGGUUCGUCCACUUAGUUCGUUUUAUAGCUAUAUGUUUUGAUUCUCUGAAAUCAUCAAGACAGUCCGGUGGACCCAACAACACAAGCUCCUCAAACUUCUGCUCCCGUGAAAGUUCUGAUGCCCAAGAAGACCCAUUGCAUUUAAGAGAUCCAACGCAGGAGUUUAUGUGUUAUAAACAGAGGUUGCGGUCCCAUUAGCUAUCUAGAAUUUUAAGUAUGAGUCCAAUAAUAAAGUAGUACUUUCCGUUCUCACCGAACCCAGCGUAAUCUGGUUAUUUUCUUAUUACGGUUUAGUUUUGGUUUCAAAUUUUUUGUUUCAAUGGUAUCAAUUUUUUUUACAGCCGAAGGUAUAAAUCUUAAGACUUUAAAAUGAAGAUAAGUGUACCUCAUGUUGUAAGAUGAAUUAUUAAACAGCACAAUUAACAGACAGAUUAGAACGACCCAAUUUAGUUUUA